GCCGGUGUGGCGGAACAGGCAGACGCGGCGCACUCAAACUGCGCUUCCGCGAGGAGUGUGGGUUCGAGUCCCACCACCGGCACGA
rnacentral:tRNA from 1 species